GAUGAACGCUGGCGGCGUGCCUAAUACAUGCAAGUCGAGCGAACAGACGAGGAGCUUGCUCCUCUGACGUUAGCGGCGGACGGGUGAGUAACACGUGGAUAACCUACCUAUAAGACUGGGAUAACUUAGGGAAACCGGAGCUAAUACCGGAUAAUAUAUUGAACCGCAUGGUUCAAUAGUGAAAGACGGUUUUGCUGUCACUUAUAGAUGGAUCCGCGCCGCAUUAGCUAGUUGGUAAGGUAACGGCUUACCAAGGCAACGAUGCGUAGCCGACCUGAGAGGGUGAUCGGCCACACUGGAACUGAGACACGGUCCAGACUCCUACGGGAGGCAGCAGUAGGGAAUCUUCCGCAAUGGGCGAAAGCCUGACGGAGCAACGCCGCGUGAGUGACGAAGGUCUUCGGAUCGUAAAACUCUGUUAUUAGGGAAGAACAAAUGUGUAAGUAACUAUGCACGUCUUGACGGUACCUAAUCAGAAAGCCACGGCUAACUACGUG
rnacentral:rRNA from 1 species